UUACAAUCACUACUUCACACAAAGAUCAUUUAAUUCAUACAUCAUUCAGAGUACACACAUAGUCCGACUACAGACAAAUCCAAAUGAAAAGAAGAUAACCCCAAAUGCUAGAUCCCCGAUCGUCCCAACUGGGCUCCACUACUGAUCAUCAGGAAACGAAACAUAGUAAUGACCAAGGUCCUCGUCGAACUCCCACUUGAGUUUGAUAGCAUCACCUGCACUAGUAUCAUCGGCACCUGCAAUUGUUUUGGUAGUAUCUGUGAGUCACGGGGACUCAACAAUCUCAAAAACCCGCGAGAUCAAGACUAUUUAAGCUUAUGAGUAGGAUAAGGUAAUGAGGUGGAGUUGCAGCAACCACUAAGCAAAUAUGGUGGCUAACAUACGAAUACAAGAGUAAGAUGAGAAACUACGCAAUGGUCGUGAAGAUAGAAGUGAUCGAGAAGUGAUCCAGAAACUACGUUCAAUCAUAACCCAAACCGUGUUCACUUCCCGGGCUCCACCAAAAAGAGACCAUCACGGCUACACAAGCGGUUGAUGCAUUUUAAUUAAGUCAAGUGUCAAGUUCUCUACAACCGGAUAUUAACAAAUUCCCAUCUGCCACAUAACCGCGGGCAUGGCUCUCGAAAGUUUAUACCCUGCAGGGGUGUCCCAACUUAGCCCAUCACAAGAUCUCACGAUCAACGAAGGAAAUUCCUUCUCCCGGAACAACUCGGUCAGACUUGGAAUCCCGGUUACAAGACAUUUCGACAAUGGUAAAACAAGACCAGCAAGCCCGCCCGAAUGUGCAGACAAAUCCCGAUACGAGCUGCACAUAUCUCGUUCUCAGGGCACACCAGAUGAACACUACGUAGAGCAACCGAAGACCCGGGUGAAGGGGUGGCACUACAAGUGGCUCUAGGUUGGACCAACACUCAGAGGAGCACUGGCCCAAGGGGUUAAAAUAAAGAUGACCCUCAGGUUUGCAACCCCAAGGGAAAGUUAUAGGUUGUUAGGCAAAUGUCAAACCAAUGUUUGGCCUUGCUAGAGGAGUUUUAUUCAAAGAGAGCUGUCAAGAGGGUCCAAUAACCCCAACCGUUUAAGGAACACAAAAUCAAGGAACAUAACACCGGUAUGACGGAAACUAAGGCGGCAAGAGUGGACCAAAACACCAGGCAUAAGGCCUACCUUCCACCCUUCACCAGGCAUAUAGAUGCAUUAAUUAAAAUAAGAAAUAUUGUGAUAUCCCAACAUAACCAGGUUCCAACAUGGAGCAAUCUUCAACUUCACCUACAACUAACAACGCUAUAAGAGGGGUUGGGCAAAAGCGACAACUUAGCCAAACAACGGUUUGCUAGGAAGGUGGGUUAGAGGCUUGACAUGGCAAUAUGGGAGGCAUGAUAAGCAGGUGGUAGGUAGCGCGACAUAGCGAUAGAACGAACAACUAGCAAGCAAAGAUAGAAGUGAUAUCGAGGGUAAUGGUCAUCUUGCUUAAAAUCCCGAUAGGAAGAAGAACGAGUCAAUGAAGUAGACGAACCAACGUAGUCGAACAAAUCCUCACAAACGCAAUGUUACUGGAACUAUCAAGGAGAAGUGCAACCGGAAAGAAGCAAACAACAUGGUAAACAACCAUCACAUAAUCAUGGCAUGAUGCAAAAUCAACUAUGAUGCAUGUCCGGUUUAAAAAGGCAUGGCAUGGCAAAGUGCACAAAAAACACUACAAGUUAAGUGGAGCUCAAUAUGUAACGAGUUGCAUAUUGACGAAACACCAGACAUGACUUAUUUAGUUUGCUCUCGUUUAGGUACACAAGAAUAUUAAAUGUCGUUAAACAUGGCAAGAGGUGAAACAUAAUAAAACUACCUCUCUAAGCAAUUUAAAUGAGGCAGGAAACACAAACAAUAAUUCCGGAAAAAUCCCCAUGCCAUUUAGCAAUUUUAAUGCAAGCAACAAUUUUAAACAUUUUAAAUGUUGUUAUCAUGAUGCGGAUGACAUAUGCAAGUUAUAUUCAAUUUUAUGAAAAUGCUGACAUAAGCAUGUUAUGAAGCAUUUGGUCACCAUGGCGGAACAAAAGGGGUGCCAAGACAACGACAACGAAAAUGGUGCCACGGCAACAUUUUGAUGAUCCGGCAACUCAUUGAAAUGUCGGUGCAGCAGAAAGUGUAGAUGCGCAGAACAUGCAAAAGAAGGUGGGGUGAUCCCGAAUUACUGGCUUCCCACGGGUCGACGGCAUGGCAAACGAGGAGGAACAUGCAAGCGACAAUUUGAACACGGUGCAAGCACGGGCAUCUCAUACAACACACAUGCAUUCGUCCACGAGCGAUCAUCUUGGUGGUUAUACCUUCGAAGCGUGCAUUUCGGGGUGGUUCGAUUCGUAGUGGAAGUAGUGGUACUUGGCAAGGCGCACGGCGAUGGUAGUUGUACAUUUCGGCGGUAGACGAACUCGGUGAGCAAUGGUCGUUGUGGUACUUGGCGUCACUUCGUGUACUCGGUCUUGGCGAUCCAGAGAGGGUACUUGCUGGAUCCACAACACUGUAACCGUUCGUGGCAGAGGAACUUGAUGUUCACAGGUCUCCCAAAGAGGUCGUGGUACUUGCUGCUAUUCCCUGCUCGGUGGUCGUUGGACUGGGCGUCAACAGCAAUAGCAAGUGGAGGUGCAAGAUGAUAACGGGCAUCAAUGUGCGGAACGGGUACAGGAGGUCGGGGUUGUGUCUUGGAGUCUUUGUGACGAGGUCCACGCAGAAGCCGAGGAGGAGCGACGGGGAUGUGGGCUAGGCUGGAGGCGGCGAAGACAUGGCCGUUGAUGUGUGGCUGCUCGAAGGCGAGCAACAGCUUGAUGCAGGGGACUCGGCGACUCGCACGAUGCAGGGGGACUAGGCGCGCGGCUUCGGUCGCUCGUCUCCCUCACAGACGAGGACGAGGCAGGGGGUCGCGCGAGGAAGGUCGGAGGCACUGGAGGCGGACGCCGGAGGCCGCGGAGGGGCGGCUUGGCACCGGUGCCAGCAGCAGGCGGGGUCGGGGCUCAGGGCGACAAGCGGCAUGAGGUGAGCUCACGGGGAAGGCUGCAGGCACGGGAGAGAAGCAGGGAGGCGAAGGGAAGGCAGCGCGGCGGCGGCCUGUGCUCACCGGCGCGACGGACGGCAAAGCAAGGUCCGGCGGGCGCGGCGCAGCAAGGGACCGAGAGGAGCGUGGUGGCUAGCUGAUGGAGGAGGGCGUGAGGCGCGCAUGGCCAUGGGGAUUGGGAUCCCUCUCAUGUGUUUGCGAGGAGGGAGACGAGUGGAGGGGAAUGGGGAUCAAGCCGAGGGUCUUCCUGGCGGCGCAAGCGAGGGGAACGAGGGAG
rnacentral:lncRNA from 1 species